rnacentral:rRNA from 1 species
AGCGCAGGCGGAGAAGCAAGUCAGUGGUGAAAACGAUGGGCUUAACUCAUCGACUGCCAUUGAAACUGUUUCCCUUGAGUGAAGUAGAGGCAGGCGGAAUUCCGAGUGUAGCGGUGAAAUGCGUAGAUAUUCGGAGGAACACCAGUGGCGAAGGCGGCCUGCUGGGCUUUAACUGACGCUGAGGCUGAAAGUGUGGGGAGCAAACA